CCACCACCGGAGAAAGGAAACCCUGUGAAGCCAUGGAGCCCACAAGUCUACCGAUGAAAUUAUUACGAAAAAUCACAAAUAAUUUCUCCAAGGAGCGACUACUUGGUGAAGGUGGAUAUGGAAAGGUUUAUAUGGGUGUGCAUGACGACGGACAAGAGAUUGCUGUCAAGCUGCUCAAUGAUAGCUUGCAAACAAUUGAUGAUGAAAAAUUCACACGUGAGUUUCAUAACCUUAUGAUGCUAAAGCAUCCAAACACUGUACGGUUAGUUGGCUACUGCUAUGAAACACAACAUCAACCUAUGGACUUCCAAGGAAGAUUUGCUUUUGGUGAAAGAAGACACAGAGCACUUUGCUUCGAGUAUAUGCCUCAGGGGAGCCUUCACGAGCGUCUUUCUGAUAAAUGUAAUGGACUUGAUUGGCAAACACGUUACAAAAUUAUCAAAGGGACUUGUGAAGGUCUAAAAUACCUUCAUGAAGGAUUGGACAAACCAUUUUACCAUCUGGACCUAAAAUAGGGCAAUAUACUUCUAGAUGAAAACAUGGCUCCAAAACUUGCCGGUUUCGGUAUGUCCAAGCUCUUCAACGAAGAACAAACCUGCAGGGUGACGCAAAAUUUACGUGCAGGAACUAUUGGAUACAUGCCACCGGAAUACAUAAAUGGAGGCACGGUCUCAAAGAAGUUUGACAUAUUCAGCUUGGGUGUUGUCAUGAACAAGAUAAUUGCAGGGCCUAGCGGCCACACCAAAUGUGCUGAAAUGCAGCAUCAGGAGUUUCUUGAUCAAGUAGAAGGAAAUUGGAGAAAAAGUUUGAAAGAAACAUGGAGUUCUCCCAAGCUACUAGACGCACAAUGCCGGCAAGUGAAAAUAUGCACUGAGAUUGCACUGAGUUGCAUGAAGACGGAUAGGCACGAAAGGCCAAGUAUAGUGGAUAUCAUAAACGACCUUAACGAGACAGAAACUUUUAUUGAAAAGGUUAGCAAUUGUGAACAAGAUCCAUCACUGCUGACUUCCACUUCAAAUAGUGUUCAACCUGCAGCAUCACCUCCACCUUCAACACAAUCUCCACCACCUUCUCCAACCAGUGGCGGAGGCAGGAAUAGUAAAUUUAUGAUCUUGAGGGGGGGCCAAUUAACGAAACAUAACAAAAAGUUUACUGGUCACGCCCAAAAUGCAAAGAAGUGGCUAAUGUCGGGGCGGGCUGGGGACCCUGUUGAUCCCCCCCUGCCUCCGCCACUGUCUCCAACACCAUCUGCCAUUGCCACGUUCUGACGCUAGGCCAUGAUGAAAUUGAUGUAACGUGGGAUGCUAAAGAUCAAUUCCCUGAGAAUUCCAAAGCUGAGGUGGCAGGUGUAGGAGAGGAGGAGGACCUACCAGCCGAAUCGUCUGCAAGGGUUCAAGAGAUGUUUGGCAAUACAGACUAACUGUCUGGACCUAGAAGGGAAUGAUGUUCAUCACUGACGCAGAAGAGAAUAUUUCUAGGUUAUCAGGGGCUCCAAUCAGGGACACAGUGCAACCAAGCUACUACAAAUCAUGUCAAACCUCAGCAACAAAGUGACUGAAAUUGGAAGGGAACAUUAGAGACAUCUAGACAUCUGCGAAGAAUGGUACACGAAGGUCCCUUACCUAAUGUCAUGGCUGAGUUGCCACAAGUUGCAGCAUGCUACCACCAGGGGCUCAUGCUACGACUCUGGUGCUUUCGCCCUAGCACAACUCGGAGCCUCAGAAUAGCAUGUAGCUGCAGAUGGUGAGGAUGACAAUGACUAAGCGAAGGAUGUUAUGCGCAUAUAAGCUAGGAGCGAAUGCUUUAUCAUACUGAUUGUCAAUUCUAUUCAUGUACAUCUCUCAAA